CUCAAGAAAGAGGCAAACAGACUAGCCACUGCUCCAGGAUGACUGUGGCUCUUUAUGAGUGAAGAGAAAGGGUGGAGACUGAAGACAGAACUGGGGACAGUGACAGGCUUGGGGAAGAACAGCUGAUUCAGCAGUCCCAAGCAUCUGAACACAAGGUGGACAUUCUCCAGGGUGACAUCGCAAAAUACAUGGGUGAAGACAACCUAGUGGCCGUGACUUGGAGCACCCUUCCUCACAAUGAAGGCAUUCUGGGCCAGCCUGAAAAACAGCAUGGAAAUAAAUCACCUAAGUACAAGGGACCUCGGUGACAACGCUGUGAACAUCUAUGGAUUCCGCAUUCAAGUACUUUGUCACAACUGUCUCCACAAGUUGCAGUUUGAUGGGUCCACGUGCCAGCAAGAUAGAGAUACUCAUCAGGAAGUUGGCCAUGCAAGUUUGAAAUUUGAGAGAAGAAUCACAAAAAUGCAAAGGCUGUGCUCAAAUAAAAAUGAACUCCUUUGGUAAAGUCCUGGUCUUCAAUUCACUAAUGUUAAGGUGGGAACCAUCCCAUUACUCUGGAAUGUAUGUUCUUAAAUCAAGUGAUCAGAUUUUCUUACAUUGGUAGAGGCAAAGGAAUGGGAAUCAUAUACUAAUGGAUUUUAUACAAAACACAGCAUAAAAAAAUUACCAUAACACUUUUAAGAUUAAAACCAGAUUAAAAAUUAAUAAAACUUACAAAUGACAAAUGUUUUCUACAUACUAGACUGAAAGACAUUAUUGCAUUUUCUAUUUUAAAAUAAAAUGACUCUAUCUAGAAUGGUUUAAGUGAGUUCCUCUCAAAGCAGAAAACUUCUUAAGAUUAUUUUCUAUAAGGUCCUUCAGAAACAAGAAACCCUCUAACCUUAGAGUUACUUUUUAUCAAUUCUUACCUUGCCAACCUAGACUUCUCAGCCAAACUUCCUAAUCUUAAUUCCUUAGCAGAUAUGGUAAAUUCCUUAGAAACCUACUUGAUGAUGUACAACUAUCUUCAUGAUCCUAUCAAUAUACUCAGGCAACUAUCUAAUCACCAAGGUUAUGUGUUGGGAAGGGAAAGGUGAAAUACAUCGAUCCUUCUGUCUGAAGACUUGAUUAACUCUCAGCCAGGCACAGUGGCUCACGCCUGCCACUUUGGGAAGCUGAGGUGGGAGAAUUCUCUGUAGCCAGGAAUUCAAGACCAGCCUUGACAACACAGGAAAACACUGUCUCUACAAAAAAAUUCUAAAAAAAUUAACCAGGCAUGGUGGUGUGUGCUUGCAGUACCAGCUACUUGGGAGGCUAAAGCAGGAGGGUCACUUGAGCUCAGUAGUUCAAGAUUGUAGGGAGCUAUGAUCACAUCACUGCACUCCAGCCUGGGCAAUAGAAGAAGACUGUCUCCAAAAAAAAAAAAAGACUAACUCUCAUGCUCUUUAUUUGCGUUUAUGCUAACUAAUGCUCAAACUCUGCUAUGCUUCUGAUUCUGUCAUACUAACUAACAGGCCUGAAUCCUGGCAUCACUGGCCUUAUACUUCUCAUGAAAGCACAAGAUAAUAACUAAGGAACACAUUAGUAUAGUGUAGAUGGAGAGAGCUUAGGAUGUGGGGCCUUAUGAUCAAGGGAAGACAUGACUGAAAAAAGAAACAAAUUUUUGGCCUGGCGCAAUGGCUCACGCCUGUAAUCCCAGCACUUUGGGAGGCCGAGGCGGG
rnacentral:lncRNA from 1 species